rnacentral:rRNA from 1 species
UAGGGAAUCUUCCGCAAUGGACGCAAGUCUGACGGAGCAACGCCGCGUGAGUGAAGAAGGAUUUCGGUUCGUAAAACUCUGUUGUUAGAGAAGAACAGCGCAUAGAGUAACUGUUAUGCGUGUGACGGUAUCUAACCAGAAAGCCACGGCUAACUACGUGCCAGCAGCCGCGGUAAUACGUAGGUGGCAAGCGUUGUCCGGAUUUAUUGGGCGUAAAGCGAGCGCAGGCGGUCAAUUAAGUCUGAUGUGAAAGCCACCGGCUCAACCGGGGAGGGUCAUUGGAAACUGGUUGACUAGAGUGCAGAAGAGGAGAAUGGAAUUCCAUAUGUAGCGGUGAAAUGCGUAGAUAUAUGGAGGAACACCAGUGGCGAAGGCGACUCUCUGGUCUGUAACUGACGCUGAGUCUCGAAAGCGUGGGUAGCAAACAGG